UACAGAGGUCUCGAGCGUUAGGCGGAAUCACUGGGCUUAAAGCGUGUGUAGGCGGAUUGCUAAGUACCUUGUGAAAUCCCACGGCUUAACCGUGGAACUGCUUGGUAUACUGGCUGUCUUGAGCCACUUAGGGGCAACCGGAACAAACGGUGGAGCGGUGAAAUGCGUAGAUAUCGUUUGGAACGCCAAAGGUGAAAACAGGUUGCUGGGGAUGUGCUGACGCUGAGACACGAAAGCCAGGGGAGCAAACGGG
rnacentral:rRNA from 1 species